rnacentral:rRNA from 1 species
GUCUAUGGCCAUACCAUCCUGAACACGCCCGAUCUCAUCUGAUCUCUGAAGCUAAGCAGGGUCAGGCCUGGUUAGUACUUGGAUCGGAGACAAAGAUGUCCAAAAGAAGCAUGCA